UACGAAGGGGGCUAGCGUUGCUCGGAAUGACUGGGCGUAAAGGGCGCGUAGGCGGCCUGGUUAGUUAGAUGUGAAAUUCCUGGGCUUAACCUGGGGACUGCAUUUAAUACAGCCAAGCUUGAGUGUGGAAGAGGGUCGUGGAAUUCCCAGUGUAGAGGUGAAAUUCGUAGAUAUUGGGAAGAACACCGGUGGCGAAGGCGGCGACCUGGUCCAUUACUGACGCUGAGGCGCGAAAGCGUGGGGAGCAAACAGG
rnacentral:rRNA from 1 species